UUCAGUUUCCACAGAUUAAGCAUUCUCUCUCUCUCUCUCUCUUUUUUAUUUGCUUUAAAUCUUUGAAGAAUCUCUUCUGGAUCAACUCCUCUUCCAGGGGUCUGCAAAAUCUGAAGAUUCGAAGAGUUUUUCUGAUUAAGAUCUUGGUUUAGGGUUUCGUUUUGAAGUGAAGCUUCUUGACUCACCACCAUCGUCGUCGGAGGUAAAAGAAAAACUUUGUUUGUUGUUUGGGUUUCUAUUUAUGAAAUGUAAAAUACAAUUACGAUCAUUAUUCACGACUCAAUACAUUCCAUUGCUAUAUCUGUAUGAUUUUUUCUGUUACUAAACUCUGUUUAUAUAUGCAUUAGUAUAUCUGUAUGAUCAAGUAAUAGAGAGAGAGAGAGAGAGAGAGAUGAACGUGAUGGAUAUAUACUACUUGGUAAGUUAAAAGAGUGAGAACCAAGAUGGCCCUUGAUCUACUCAGGUGUAAUCUCUCUUGUUUGUAUAAAAUGUCACGCAAGUCCCAUGGCUAGUGUUUUGAACAGAUGAUAGAUAAUAUCGCUUGCAGUUUCAGCUAAUCAUGGGAUGCAUUGGUUAGAGGACAAAACUCACUGGCCUUCCUUUUGGCUGUCUACUGCUACUAACUGUCCAGGUAAGUUCUCUGUCUAUGAAAUUAGUUUCACGUUUGUUAAUUUUUUUUUGUCUUUAGAGGAUGGAAUCCAAUGAGAACAAAGUCAAACGUAUAUGAUCAGUUCUCUUGGAUGAUGAUGUUUUAGGAUUUUGAAACCCAAAAAGGUCAUAAGCAACAACUAAAUCUUAUAGUGUUUGUGUCAGAUUCUUGUUUGGGUACAUUGUUGCCUCGGAAACUAGACCCAUAAGGAAUCUUGGUUUGGUAGUGCAUGUCUAAAGAGGGAUAUUAUGGGAUGGAUAAAAAGUCUUAAGAAAAGUACUAUAUGGGAUCUGUUUUUGAUUAGGUGGAGGAUAACGAGGAUUAAUAAGUCUUUUUAAGUAAUGAUUAUGAAUCUGAAACAGAUCCCGUAUAGGCAAAAAGACUAUGGGAAUGGAAAAGAAAAUAUGGACCAGCGGCUUAGGAAAAAAGUCCUUAGAUGGUUAAAACGACUAAGGGCUUAAUAAGACUUGUUGGAUGAAAAGCCAGAUUCCUUAUUUUUGCUACCCACGGCUUACAAAAAGGUGUCUAGACAAAGACCACAUGUGUCUGUUCUUAGACACCUAAGGACUAAUGACUGAAACAAAUACAUGUUGGAUGGGGGAAAAAAGUAUAAACGGCUUAAAGAAGAAGUCUAGAAGGCUUACAAAUCUCUAGACAAAGACCAGAUUGGUUGAUACUGGAUGAAAAUGAUUACCAGCAGCUUAAAAAGAAAGUCCUUAGAUGGAAAGACGGCUAAUGACAUAAUUUUAAUUCUUGGUGGAUGGGGGAAAAGACCAACAACAUCUCAAAUAAGUAUUAAGACAAAGACUUAAACGAAAAGCCACAUUCCUAACUUUUGCUACCCACGACUUACAAAAGGGGCUUAGACAAAUACAUAAGUCCUCUAGAAAAGACCAGAUGAAUCGGGUUUUACACAUGCUGGAUGGAAAACACAACCAACAGUUAAAAAAAAGUCUUCAUGUGACUAAUGACUUAAUGUUAACACUUGUUGGAUGGGAACAAAAAAUAACAACCUAGGGCUUAAGAAGUCUAAAACCAAAGACAAUGAACCAAAAGGCCUAAAGAACGCCAAUGGCUGACAAAGUCUUAUAUAGGGAAUCUUAAGACAAGACUAUGUAGGAUCUGUUUUCGAUCAUUUGGAUGGAGUCAAGGAUAACGAGGAUUUAAGAAAGCCUUUAAGUAAAGAUUAACAGAUCCCGUAUAGUCAUGAUUACAAGUUCUUAUACGGAAAAAACGACUAAGGGAUAUUAUAAGACUUGUUGGAUGGGAAAAAACGACCAACAUGUCCAUUAAGUCUUAAGACAAAGACUGAAAUGAAAAGCCAGAUUCCUUACUUUUUGCUACCCACGGCUUACAGAAGAAGUCUCUAGACAAAGAACAUAUGUGUAAAUUUUUUAGACAUGCUAGAUGGAAAAACGAUGGAUGUCUGAAACAAUACUUGUUGAACGGUUCAAAGAAGUCUAAAAUGACAUACAAAAGUCUCUAGGCAUUUAGACAUGAUGGAAGGAAAAUAGAGGGAUGGCUGAAACAAUAAUACCGAGGGAUGGCUGAAAUAAUACUUUUUGGAUAAAGAAAUGUACAGACAGCUUACAAACGUCUCUAGGCAAAAGACAAAGGGGGCUUUUAGACAGACAAAUAUCUCUAGAAAAAGACCAAAUGUGUCUGUUUUAGACAUGCUGGAUGGUAAAAACAACCAGCAGUUAAGCAAAGGAUAUACAAUGACUUGUUUUGCAGCUUGUUGGAUGGGGGAAAAAAACCAUCAGCUUAAGACAAAGUCUCAAAAAACUCUUUUAUGACACACAGACUAUGAGUUGGUUUCGUAAUUUGGCGGAUGGAACGAGUGACCACUCUUUGAAAGCAAUCUUAAGACGAAAACAACUACAAGUCUACAAGUGUUAAGACAGCGCUGAUAUUAGAAGUCUUUUGAUAAAACACUAUCAAAGGCU